CUGGCACUGCAGACAGCAGGCAUCCCCCGUAGCGCACUCAGCGCCGGGCAGCAGCUGACAGGAGCUGCUAUUGCAGCACGGAUCGGUGCACUCCAAACUCAGCCCGCAGUCGCAGCCCUCUCCCGGCUCCACGAAGCGGUUCCCACACACGGGGGUCCCCUCCAGGCGCUGCGGGUCGGGCACGUCGUACAGACACCACCCCAACCCCCGCUGCAGGCUCAGCUCCAACUCCGAGCGGCUGCAAUUGCUGAAGCUCAGACCGGGCGUCAGACCCGUGGGGGGGUCCAUGAUGCAGCCGUGGUCGUGGUA
rnacentral:lncRNA from 1 species